GACGAACGCUGGCGGCGUGCUUAACACAUGCAAGUCGAACGCUGAAGCUCAGCUUUUGUUGGGUGGAUGAGUGGCGAACGGGUGAGUAACACGUGAGUAACCUGCCCCCUUCUUUGGGAUAACGCCCGGAAACGGGUGCUAAUACUGGAUAUUCACUGGUCUUCGCAUGGGGGUUGGUGGAAAGGGUUUUUCUGGUGGGGGAUGGGCUCGCGGCCUAUCAGCUUGUUGGUGGGGUGAUGGCCUACCAAGGCUUUGACGGGUAGCCGGCCUGAGAGGGUGACCGGUCACAUUGGGACGGAGAUUCGGCCCAGACUGCUACGGGAGGCAGCAGUGGGGAGUAUUGCACAAUGGACGCAAGCCUGAUGCAGCGACGCCGCGAGAGGGAUGGAGGCCUGCGGGUUGUGAACCUCUUUCGCUAAUGGUCAAGCCGCAACAAUGGUUGUGGUGAGGGUAGUGGGUAAAGAAGCGCCGGCUAACUACGUG
rnacentral:rRNA from 1 species